AUUGAACGCUGGCGGCAUGCCUUACACAUGCAAGUCGAACGGUAACGGGCCUUCGGGUGCCGACGAGUGGCGAACGGGUGAGUAAUACAUCGGAACGUGCCCGAUCGUGGGGGAUAACGAGGCGAAAGCUUUGCUAAUACCGCAUACGAUCUACGGAUGAAAGCAGGGGAACGCAAGGCCUUGCGCGGGCGGAGCGGCCGAUGGCAGAUUAGGUAGUUGGUGGGAUAAAAGCUUACCAAGCCGACGAUCUGUAGCUGGUCUGAGAGGAUGAUCAGCCACACUGGGACUGAGACACGGCCCAGACUCCUACGGGAGGCAGCAGUGGGGAAUUUUGGACAAUGGGCGCAAGCCUGAUCCAGCCAUGCCGCGUGCAGGAUGAAGGCCUUCGGGUUGUAAACUGCUUUUGUACGGAACGAAAAGCCUUCUUUUAAUACAGGAGGGUCAUGACGGUACCGUAAGAAUAAGCACCGGCUAACUACGUG
rnacentral:rRNA from 1 species